rnacentral:rRNA from 1 species
AAGCCUUCUUUCGGGAAGGCACGAGUGGCGAACGGGUGCGUAACGCGUAUGCAACCUACCCCUUACAGGGGGAUAGCCCGGGGAAACCCGGAUUAAUACCCCGUAACAUACUGUUCUCGCAUGAGGACAUUAUUAAAGAUUUAUCGGUAAGGGAUGGGCAUGCGUGCCAUUAGCUAGUUGGUAGUGUAACGGACUACCAAGGCGACGAUGGCUAGGGGGUCUGAGAGGAUGAUCCCCCACACUGGUACUGAGAUACGGACCAGACUCCUACGGGAGGCAGCAGUAGGGAAUAUUGGUCAAUGGGCGAGAGCCUGAACCAGCCAUGCCGCGUGUAGGAAGACGGCCUUCUGGGUUGUAAACUACUUUUAUACGGGAAGAAAACGCCCAUGCGUGGGUAACUGACGGUACCGUAAGAAUAAGCACCGGCUAACUCCGUGCCAGCAGCCGCGGUAAUACGGAGGGUGCAAGCGUUGUCCGGAUUUAUUGGGUUUAAAGGGUGCGUAGGCGGGUCAUUAAGUCAGUGGUGAAAGCCCACAGCUCAACUGUGGAACUGCCAUUGAUACUGAUGGUCUUGAGUAUCGUUGAGGUAGGCGGAAUUUAUGGUGUAGCGGUGAAAUGCAUAGAUACCAUAAAGAACACCGAUAGCGUAGGCAGCUUACUAAACGAUAACUGACGCUGAGGCACGAAAGCAUGGGUAGCGAA